AUUGUCGCAUUGCUGUUCCGAUGGGCGAGCAGGUGUCGAGAUUCAGUUACCCAGGAAAUCAUACAGCACAAAACUAGUUGCCGAGGAUGAUGAAAAAGAAAAUAAGAAGUCGGUCAAACUUGAAGAUGGGUGCUUUCUGAAGCCACAUAUUUUUACCCUUACAAUACCAGAGAUUGAUGGGGGAACAUAUAUCUCAGUCACUAUUAGAU
rnacentral:misc_RNA from 1 species